rnacentral:rRNA from 5 species
CCCAGACAGCCAGGAUGUUGGCUUAGAAGCAGCCAUCAUUUAAAGAAAGCGUAAUAGCUCACUGGUCGAGUCGGCCUGCGCGGAAGAUGUAACGGGGCUAAACCAUGCACCGAAGCUGCGGCAGCGACACUGUGUGUUGUUGGGUAGGGGAGCGUUCUGUAAGCCUGUGAAGGUGGCCUGUGAGGGUUGCUGGAGGUAUCAGAAGUGCGAAUGCUGACAUAAGUAACGAUAAAGCGGGUGAAAAGCCCGCUCGCCGGAAGACCAAGGGUUCCUGUCCAACGUUAAUCGGGGCAGG